UGGCUGUCCCAGAUUAGACAGAACGAGACCAGAAACCACAACAAAACUUGUGUAUUUCUUCACUACGCUGAGGAACAGGUCAUAUUAGAGCAUGCAUGAGACACACUUCGAAUUCAGAGCCUGAUGAAGCUAAUAUUUGCUCUAAGAUACUGAGUGUAAAAAAAACCUAUUUGGAUAUAGAAGCUGUUACUUAUGAAAAUAAUAUCCAGCAACUAUGGAAGUUUUUUGAUCUCAAGCCAUUACUGACACUGGCAGAGUAAGACAUGGAAAGAGGAAAUGAAAGCAUGAAAAACCACAAGCAGAAUAAAGACUUAAA